GACGAACGCUGGCGGCGUGCUUAACACAUGCAAGUCGAGCGGAAAGGCCCUUUCGGGGGUACUCGAGCGGCGAACGGGUGAGUAACACGUGAGUAAUCUGCCCCUGGCUUUGGGAUAGCCACCGGAAACGGUGAUUAAUACCGGAUACGACCACUUCUCGCAUGGGAUGGUGGUGGAAAGUUUUUCGGCCAGGGAUGUGCUCGCGGCCUAUCAGCUUGAUGGUGAGGUAAUGGCUCACCAUGGCUUCGACGGGUAGCCGGCCUGAGAGGGUGAACGGUCACACUGGGACUGAGACACGGCCCAGACUCCUACGGGAGGCAGCAGUGGGGAAUAUUGGACAAUGGGCGGAAGCCUGAUCCAGCAACGCCGCGUGAGGGAUGACGGCCUUCGGGUUGUAAACCUCUUUCAGCAGGGACGGAGCGCAAGUGACGGUACCUGCAGAAGAAGCACCGGCCAACUACGUGCCAGCAGCCGCCGUAA
rnacentral:rRNA from 1 species